ACGGCGAGUGAAGCGGCAAUAGCUCAAAUUUGAAAUCUGGCGUCUUCGGCGUCCGAGUUGUAAUUUGUAGAGGAUGUUUCGGCGAGGGCUCCCGUCUAAGUCUCUUGGAACAGAGCGUCACAGAGGGUGAGAAUCCCGUAUGUGAUGGGUUGCCCGAGCCAUGUGAAACUCCUUCGACGAGUCGAGUUGUUUGGGAAUGCAGCUCUAAAUGGGAGGUAAAUUUCUUCUAAAGCUAAAUACCGGCCAGAGACCGAUAGCGCACAAGUAGAGUGAUCGAAAGAUGAAAAGCACUUUGGAAAGAGAGUUAAAAAGUACGUGAAAUUGUUGAAAGGGAAGCGCUUGCAACCAGACUCGUACGCAGUUGCUCAGCCGGUCUCUUGACCGGUGUACUCUUCUGCGUCCGGGCCAGCAUCAGUUCGGGCGGUCGGAUAAAGGCCUCGGGAAUGUAGCUCCCCUCGGGGAGUGUUAUAGCCCGGGGCGUAAUGCGGCCAGCCUGGACUGAGGAUCUCGCUUCGGCUAGGAUGCUGGCGUAAUGGUUGUAAGCGGCCCGUCUUGAAACACGGACCAAGGAGUCUAACAUCUAUGCGAGUGUUUGGGUGUCAAACCCAUGCGCGUAAUGAAAGUGAACGGAGGUGGGAACCCUCACGGGUGCACCAUCGACCGAUCCUGAUGUCUUCGGAUGGAUUUGAGUAAGAGCAUAGCUGUUGGGACCCGAAAGAUGGUGAACUAUGCCUGAAUAGGGUGAAGCCAGAGGAAACUCUGGUGGAGGCUCGCAGCGGUUCUGACGUGCAAAUCGAUCGUCAAAUUUGGGUAUAGGGGCGAAAGACUAAUCGAACCA
rnacentral:rRNA from 1 species